GUCUACAGAUAUACUACCCUGAACACGCCCGAUCUCGUCUGAUCUUGGAAGCUAAGCAGAGUUGGGCCUGGCUAGUACUUGGAUGGGAAUCAGGUGUCAUAGAUG
rnacentral:rRNA from 1 species